GCCAUACGGACGCAAACACGUCUCUGGCGCCCAUCACUAUAUCCAUACCAACCCCUGUGCACUGUGAUGACGAAUGUCAUCGAACAAAAAAAACUCGUAUGGUUGAAUGUACGUGAAAUUGUAGGUAUAGCCUACGAACUAUACACAACUUUCGACAACGGAUCUCUUGGUUCUCCCAUCGAUGAAGAACGCAGCGAAACGCGAUAGGUAAUGUGAAUUGCAGAAUUCCGUGAAUCAUCGAAUCUUUGAACGCACCUUGCGCUCCAUGGUAUUCCGUGGAGCAUGCCUGUUUGAGUGCCGCGAAUUCUCCCUCCCCUUACGGUGGCCGAAAGGCCGAAGUAGGGCGGACGGGGUAGGAUGGGUGUUGCUGCCUGGGGAUUGUACCAGGCUCGCCCGAAAUGCAUAAGCGCCAGGACCCUCGCUACCGCUCUCUAGGGAAGAGUGGCUAAGCGACCGCUGAGCAUGGCAUGAUACGUCAUUUGCUGUGUGUGGGCGGCCGGUUGGAGAGGUGUCUGCUUUACCAGCCCUUUUUUAAUUCUGGUCUCAAAUCAGGUAGGAUCACCCGCUGAACUUAAGCAUAUCAAUAAGCGGA
rnacentral:rRNA from 1 species